GAGAGGUGCUGCAUGGCUGUCGUCAGCUCGUGUUGUGAAAUGUUGGGUUAAGUCUCGCAACGAGCGCAACCCCUAUCGUCUGUUGCCAGCAUUAAGUUGGGCACUCUGACGAGACUGCCUGGGUUAACCAGGAGGAAGGUGGGGAUGACGUCAAGUCCUCAUGGCCCUUAUGUCUAGGGCUACACACGUAAUACAAUGGCGCGUACAGAGGGAUGCGAACCCGCGAGGGGGAGCAAAUCUCAAAAAGCGCGCCUCAGUUCGGAUUGGAGUCUGCAACUCGACUCCAUGAAGUUGGAAUCGCUAGUA
rnacentral:rRNA from 1 species